CGGCGACAAUUUUGGCUAGUCUAAGAAGGGCAUUCGAGUGACCGUUGACAACGGGUGGGACAGCGUCAGAGCUGGAGGGAGAGCCAGCACUGUAUGCUUCCAGGACUUCUUGCUAGGUGCAUUAGUUUUUAUUUUUAAGAGUUGGGUAAAAGACAUUAAUUAGUUAGCAUCUCACUCAUCGGCGAUUUUCUACGGUAUGAUUUCAUCCAAAGAGGAUUUCUUAAUCGCACUGUGUGACACCGUUAGGGGACUUAGAGUGUCACUCGCCGCCUUAAAUCCUUUCGGGAACAAGCCAGGAUAUAAAUAAAUAAAGCUAGGUGUGGGUCUUCCCUUCACAAGGCGCUGGUAGGCAGACUAAAGACAGGCAACAGCUGAGUGUGCACACAGAACUAAAUAUUGAACGAAAUACGAGUGUCGGAAUAAAAUUCAUUGCCAUGUGCACGGCUUAUGAUUAUACAGAUCUUGGACAUAUCACGGACCUGAACGUCAACCCUGCAACACCGGAUAAAACAUCUAAUGUAGCUGGAAUAGACUCUGAAAGGACGUUAGGCAUUAUCUAAAUCAAGUCCCUCAUUUUACAGAUGAGUAAACUGACUCAGUGAAGUAUUUUGCUCAAGGUCGUUCAUCAAAUUAGUAGUUUAAUUAACUCAGUGUUCUAGGAAGCAGGGUAGUAGAAAAGCAUGGGAUUCGGAGUCUGAAAUCUUCCUUGGUUUCUGGUCCUUGUAGGCUGUUUUACAAGUGUAUCUUGGGCAAAUCCCUUAACGUCUUGCCAUUUAUUAAGGGCUUACUUACCACGUGGCAAACAAUCCACUUUGCAUGCUGUGUCAAUUACAUGCAGUAUGUCGUGUAGUUAUUACUGUCCCCAUUUUAUGAGGUAGUUUAGGUUUAAAGAUAUUAGAAAUUUACCCAAAGUUACGCAGUUAUAAACAUUGUAGUAAUUUCAAACUCAGGUCUUCGUGACUGCAAAGGCUGCUGUCUUAAGUAUUGUAAUACAUUAGAGCUCCGGAUUCCCUCCCACUCAAAACAGAGACUGAGACUCCAACCAAUUUCCACCAUUAUUGGGAGUCAAACGAGAGAGACUGUGGCAAUGUAUUCUAAGCUGUACAAAGGUAUAAACAUAUUCACUAGAUUUGUAGAAUGAAGUUAUUCCUUCCCUAUACUUUCCACUACAACAAUUCAGCCAAAAAGAUGGCUUUCAUACUAAGCAUAAGAAGGAACUUCACUGUAAUUAUGAUAUUCUAACCAAGAAUAUAUGCAUAUCUAGGCAAUAACCAAAGUGAAUAGAAUAAAAUUUAAUUCCUGAUAGAUUAAAUAGGCAAUAGCAAGGAAUGCUAACGCUCCUCAUAGCGUUCUUGUUGGAAGAAUCAUCUAGGAGGCAUUGGGAUUUCUGGUGCUUUUUAAGCAAUGAGAGAUAUCAGUCCACUGAAUGAGGAAGAGAAUAACGUUUAGUUUCGGACUAAAAGUUCAUCUGGACUACGGAAAACACGUUUGCCUCAAUCAGUGAAGAAGGUAUGCUGAGAGCUGAAAGAAAAGGAAAGCAGCAACAGUGAGAGCUCAGAAAUUCCCAGACUGUUUUGAUGAUAAGGUCCAAGAACUUGCCAUGUGAUCCAUCACUACUAGACUCCCACAACUGCAUUAGAUUUGUUCAGGAUUUUCAUAUAAUUUUCAUAACUGGCUAAGGAUUGUUUUCUGCUGGUUGCUUUCUGAAAUUCUACUGGACCUAAUGCCAAAAGAUGAUCAAGAGGAGCAUGAAAAAAUCCCCUGAAUCCAUUGGCUUUCUUCCCUAUACUGACAACAGUUUACUUGUGUAAGAGAUGCAUGCCUCGACUCCGGACCCCUUCUUUCAUCUGCAAAAUCAGCAGCACCCUCACAUCAUCUCCUGUAACAAACUCUCUCUGUCUCCUCCAUAUAAGGUCACUGAUGGUUACAUUUAGGGUCCAUGAUAUAAGAAGAUGGAUGUCUAUUGCUUUUCUCUUGAUAUUCAUGGCACUGCUCCUCUCCAUCCAUAGGAUUAUCUUAUUCAAGUUGGUGUGUAUCUGCAAAGGCGAUGGAAAGGAGUUCUUACAUAUGCAUAUUCUGAAGAAGGAUGUUACCCUUACUGAAAAACUUAUUCCAAGAUAUGUUUAAUCAAUCAUGAGAAAAAUAAAGAGACAUCCUUAUGAAUGGAGAAUAAAGUCCUCAGGGUUUUUUUCUAAUUCCCCAUGUGAAUGAAGAGCUGUGUUAUUCUAAAUAUAGUGUUUGUCAUAAGGCAA
rnacentral:lncRNA from 1 species